GUUGAACGCUGGCGGCAGGCCUAACACAUGCAAGUCGAGCGGAUGAAGGGAGCUUGCUCCUGGAUUCAGCGGCGGACGGGUGAGUAAUGCCUAGGAAGCUGCCUGGUAGUGGGGGAUAACGUCCGGAAACGGGCGCUAAUACCGCAUACGUCCUGAGGGAGAAAGUGGGGGAUCUUCGGACCUCACGCUAUCAGAUGAGCCUAGGUCGGAUUAGCGAGUUGGUGGGGUAAAGGCCUACCAAGGCGACGAUCCGUAACUGGUCUGAGAGGAUGAUCAGUCACACUGGAACUGAGACACGGUCCAGACUCCUACGGGAGGCAGCAGUGGGGAAUAUUGGACAAUGGGCGAAAGCCUGAUCCAGCCAUGCCGCGUGUGUGAAGAAGGUCUUCGGAUUGUAAAGCACUUUAAGUUGGGAGGAAGGGCAGUAAGUUAAUACCUUGCUGUUUUGACGUUACCAACAGAAUAAGCACCGGCUAACUUCGUG
rnacentral:rRNA from 1 species